AAAUGCUUGUAUAAAGCCUGGAUAAACGACUUAUUUGAUUUAUAGGUUGGAAGAAAUAAUCUAUAUAGUUGACAGUUACAAUGAAGGUGUUGGUUCUUUGUGCCCUUGUGGCUGGCGCCAUGAGUGCACUCGUUGAGUUCCGAGACAAGGACAUCUUUGAGCCACUUUCAGAUGAGAUGAUCUGGUUCAUCAAUAAGAUGAACACAACAUGGAAGGCAGGACAAAACUUCCAUCACAUUGCAAAGGAUGACAGACUAGCCCAUGUUAAGAUGAUGUGUGGUACCUACCUAAACACACCCCCAGAGCUUAGGCUCCCAGAGAAGAAGAUGGAGCCCCUGAAGGACCUCCCCGCCACCUUUGAUUCCCGCACACAGUGGCCUAACUGCCCCACCCUGAAGGAAGUCAGAGACCAGGGAGCAUGCGGAUCCUGCUGGGUAGGAAUGAUUGGGGCUUUAGUGUUGUUUGUUGGAAGGGGUUGGGUUUUUUAACACCACAGUGUCAGACUGCAAUUACAGAGGAAAAUAAGAGAGUCUAAAGUUGAAAAGGUUUUAUUCAAACACCAUUGAGAAAGCAAUUCUGAUUCAGUAUAACAGUGUUUCUUAUUAUCUGAUAAGUUAAUAUACAGUUUUAGAAUUAGGAGUGUGAAAUUGACUUUGCUGUUAGCAUGAAUUCUUUAUGAGCUUCUUUGUUGUAACUGUGUUUUACUGUAAUUUGUUAGAAAUGAUGGGGAGGGGUAUAUAAUCAACACUUUAGUUAAGGCCACAGGUCAACAGGAAGGCUAAAAAAAAUAAAAGAGAAAAGUACAUAUAUAAAUGUAAGUUGGUUUUGGCAACUGUUUUUAAAAUAGCAGACAAGCAUUGUCAAGUAUCGUGUACUUGUAUAUGAAGAGUGCAAGCAAUUACAUUUUUUGUUGUUGAAGUAACACUUAUACAAGAUAUAAAAUCCUCCACUGCUGCUGUCAGACAAAGUCGGUUUCAUAACGGACACAUUUUAAGAACAGAUCUCUUGAUUGGCAAACUGAAUUCACAUGAUCGUACAAUGUAAGAGAAGUGAAACAUGAAUAAAUUUCUUUGUCGCAGGCUUUCGGAGCUGUUGAAGCCAUGUCAGAUCGUAUCUGUAUCAAGUCUCAAGGAAAAGAAAAUACCCACAUCUCAGCCGAGGAUCUGACAUCUUGCUGCAGAACCUGUGGAAAUGGGUGUGAGGGAGGUUUCCCAUCUGCUGCCUGGAGUUACUAUAAGAGAGACGGUCUGGUUACCGGGGGACAGUACAACUCACACCAGGGAUGUCUACCUUACACAAUCAAGGCCUGUGACCACCAUGUGGUAGGAAAACUCCAGCCAUGCAGUAAGAGCAUCGGACCCACUCCUAAAUGUAAACACACCUGUGAAGCAGGUUACAAUGUCACCUAUGAGAAGGACAAACACUAUGGAAGUUCUGCCUACAGUGUACAUGGUGUAGAGAAAAUUAUGACAGAGAUCAUGACCAAUGGCCCAGUGGAAGGUGCUUUCACAGUCUACGCUGACUUCCCACAAUACAAAUCUGGUGUAUACAAGCAUACUACUGGACAGCCCUUAGGAGGUCAUGCUAUCAAGAUCCUCGGGUGGGGAACUGAGAACGGAGAUGAUUACUGGCUGGUGGCCAACUCCUGGAACCCCGACUGGGGAGAUCAAGGUAAGUCCCACUUCAUUCAAAGCCGGGUUCAGACAGAACACAAUUUUACCGGGAAUCACCUAUAAAUUGAAAAAAGGUGUAAGAAGUUUUUUCCAAACUGAAGUCAGUCUUAAAUAUGCAGAGAGAUUGAAUCUCCGAUUUCUGUGAAUUGGAAUGUCGAUGUUCAAUCCUCUGCAAUGUUUGAUACUUUUUAAUAUAUAUCUGGUCAAAUACAAUGUAUAUGUCCUUUGAUGUUGAAACUUAGAAAUUUGAACCUAUAUAUAAUGUAUGAAGAACAUAUUACAUUUUUAGGGUAGUAACGGAUGUAUUUGGUAAUAUUGUGGAAUGAUCAAACAUUGGAAAAUUUAUAAUUAUUUUUUUUUUGCUUUUGCAGGUUUCUUCAAGAUCUUAAGAGGACAAGAUGAAUGUGGAAUCGAGUCCCAGAUCAGUGCUGGAGAGCCCAAACUCAGUUAAAAAUAUAAAAAAACACUGACUAAGAAAACCCACUAAAGUGCUCAACCUAACAUUACCAUGAGAUUUAUUGAAAUGAAAUUUCAGACGUAUUUUGCUUUCCAAAAGUUGUUUUUUUUUCACAGACUGUUAGAUUUAUGAUAUUACAUAUAUGUAAUGUCUAUUUUCCAAGUGUGAUAUUUGAUACUUUGAUACAAUUUGUAUUUGAAAUAUUAAAUAAAAUUAAGAGUUU
rnacentral:misc_RNA from 1 species